rnacentral:lncRNA from 1 species
AUGAGGCAAGGCGAGGCCGAAGCCCAGCCGACUCGCCCAGGGUCACCCAGCCGAGAGGAUCAGAACCACUGGGCCACGACGCUUCUCUUUCUCGUUGCUGAGGGGAAAAGUCCGACGGGUGAGGGAAAAAAAGGAAGAACGGAGGUGGAAGAAGCGCGGGGGGCAAUGGGGGACGAGGAAAACGGCGCGGGACGUGGUGGGGGAGGAAAAACGGAGGCGACGAGGGGUCGGGGAGGCCCCGCUCCAUUCUGGGCCCAGGCCUGCCUCCCUCCCCGCCCCGCCCCCUCCCCCUUGUUCUCGCAGGCGCUUCUCCAAGUCUCGCGAGAGGACGGGCCGCGGCGGCGUUCGCGGCAGCGCGCCGGGCUGGUGGUGGCGGUGGCGGCCGAGGGUGGCGGCGGCCAUUUUGGUGAGGCCUCGGGAGCGGCGGCGCUCGGCGGAAAGCUGCAUCCUCCUCCGCCCCUCCACCCUCCGUCCGCCCCCCCCCCGGCCCCGAGCGAAGAGGAUGCGGUAGAGACGCGGCUGCGGACACGGCCGUCCCGGGACGGGCGGGAAUCUCUCACAGCGGCAGCCGGAGGAGGACCCUCCCCCCUCCUUUUUGCCCGGAGGGGGGGGUGGCGCGCGCGCCCCCGAGGACGCAGGUGCGCUUUCUUUCGAUACGGCGGCACCGUGGAAGUGCAGACUUUCACGGCGGGCGUGGUCUCAGCUCACGCAGGUGAGGAGAGGGUGGCGGCUCCCGGGCCCGUUGGGGAGGGACGGGAGGUGCGGGGGUGAUCCGGGCGGCCCGCUUCCCGCCCUGGGGAGGAGAAGCGGUCGCGGUUGGUUUCCGUUCCUCCGGAACGGAUCGCUAGCGUCACCGGAGGGUCAGAGCCGGGCCUCUCGGACGCCGACGGUAGGGAAGGAGACUCCGGAGCCCCGGCCGCCGGGCCGAACCGGGUGGUUCGGUUUUUCACUUCCUCCCCGCCUCGGGCCGGCCCCGACGCCUGCUCCGCGCUCUCCUGACCCGUCAUCCCUUU